rnacentral:ncRNA from 1 species
AUUAAAUAAAGGCAAAUCCAAAUGAAAAUUGGAGACGCAAAGUUACCGGUCUAAAGAAAGCAUAUUCAAUAUGAAAUGCUAUCAAUGGCAGCGGGGCCGCAAAU